UACGGAGGGUGCGAGCGUUGUCCGGAAUCAUUGGGCGUAAAGGGCGCGUAGGUGGCCCGGUCAGCGUGCGGUGAAAGCUCGGGGCUCAACCCCGAGUCGGCCGUGCGAACUGCUGGGCUUGAGCACUGUAGAGGCAGGCGGAAUUCCGGGUGUAGCGGUGGAAUGCGUAGAGAUCGGGAAGAACAUCGGUGGCGAAGGCGGUCUGCUGGGCCGUUGCUGACGCUGAGGCGCGACAGCGUGGGGAGCAAACAGG
rnacentral:rRNA from 1 species